ACUCAAAGGAAUAGACGGGGACCCGCACAACCAGUGGAGUAUGUGGUUUAAUUCGAGACGAAACGAAGAACCUUACCCAGCCUUGACAUGAUACCGUUUAGGUCGGCAGAAACGUCGACUGAUCAAAAUUUAUUUUGAUGGUACCACAGGUGUUGCAUGGCUGUCGUCAGCUCGUGCCGUAGGGUGUUCCCUUCAGUGGGGUAACGAGCGCAACCCUUGCCGUAUGUUAAAUAAUCAUAUGGGACUAUUUGAAUUUAUUUCAGAUGGAAGCGAGGACGACGUCAAGUCAGCAUGGCCCUUAUAGCUGGGGCUACACACAUGCUACAAUGGAGCCGACAAAAGGUAGCCAAACCGUAAGGUGGAGCUAAUCCUAAAAACGGCUUCUCAGUGGGGAUUGAGGGCUGAAAUUCGCCCUCAUGAACGUGGAAUUGGUAGUAAUCGCGCAUCAGCAGGGCGCGGUGAAUACGUUCUCGGGUCUUGUACACACCGCCCGU
rnacentral:rRNA from 1 species